GUAAUCUAUCACUUUCUGUGAGCUGGUACCUCCGAUGCUCCUUUUGACACUGCAUACUAUUUCUUUUUCACGUAUGAUGCGCCAGAGUACAGCUAUAUUUCUACUUAUUUAGUUGACAACUGUUAUCUGUACCAGAUUAGCUCUGCAAUGUCCAUUUUUAUGGUUGGCACUUGAAGAUGCAACAAAUUAAUGCCACUAUUUAGGGAGGUUUAUUUCAUGAAUAUUGAUUAGGGAAAUCAUCGAUCUGAUUAUUUAUCCCCAUCCAGUAACAACUCGAGCUUUGAAGUUAAUUAAAUGGAUGAAGCUGAGUGCAAGUGCUCUGGUGAUUUGGUUCAGAUUGGAACAAUGCACUCUAGCUGAACGUGAGUAUUUGUCAAAUUGUACUGUUUGUCCUCUCUAUUUUUCCUUUGCUACUGGACAGAUAAUUAUUAGGGACAGUAGCAGAUCAUAAUUGAUUGGUAUAAAUUGCAGGAGUAUUGCUCCUUUGCUGUGCAGCUUUUAGGGCAUUUCUUAGUAUUGCUCCUUCGCUGUGCAGCUUUUAGGGCAUUUCUUUCUCUGUUCCCUCCUCAGCAGAACUUUGCACUUUCAUUCCUGCCCAUUCUUUGAUACCAAUUAUGUGUAUAAUCUACAGAAGUUGAACAACUAGUUCACCCCAUGGACUGUGAACUGCUAGUGUUGGAUGCACACGUGGAGGAAAUUUCCAAAAAAGUUCACUGUUAGAAACAAUAUGGUUGAUAAAAUGACAAGGAACUUUGCUGUUGCAUGCAUAGUUCAGGGCAUAUCAUAUUCAUUCGUGAAGAUUAAUAUAUCAUGCUUAAUGUUUGCAGAUCGUUCUGAGAUGAGAUCCAAGGUACAUGUGUCUAACAGAAAGUUUUUUUUGAUAAUGAAGGCUCUACCCUGAAUCUGCUUUCUAACGCUGCUAACUGAACACAAGCAACUCUACAUGAUUAACACUGGUUAACUAUUACACAACUCUUCUCUACGCUGUAACAACAGCUGGACUUAUCUUGUUACAUGAAACAUUGUAAUCAUCGAAAGAUUGCCUCCUUCAAAGUUACAUCCUCUACAACCCAGAGUUAAGGUCAGGCUGCUCUAUUUUGAGGUACUUCCCACUACUACUACUAGUUGCAGGCUACCUUUUCUUUGCAGAUCUUGUCUUUACAAAGAGAUAUUUUUACCUACAUUUAUGUACAUUAUAUGCUUUACAGAGGCCUUUACAUAGAGCGCAGAUACUGUCACAACGACAUAGGCAGUGAUGCCUUUGGAAAUAUUCUCUGUCCUGGGGCUAGGAUUGCUAGGGGAUCGUACAUGUGUUUCCUCCGUUCAAAUGUCUCCCACCUCGCCCCAAAGUGGGCUUUCCACUGCUGCUGCGUAGUGUAGGGUGCUAGAUACUGCUUCAUCCCAACGUUGGCCUUCUCACAGAAGUCGACUAUUUUGUUAUUCAGGUUCACUGCAUGUUCGACGCUGCCGUGGCCUGAGAGCGACGGUGCCGAAGACAGGAACCCCACAAGGUAGAAGAUUUCUUCAUCUGGAUCUUGCCGAAGACCUCGCUCGCGAACUUGUGGAUUGUGCUUCUUGGGAUUAGAAGGUUCAGCCAUGGGUGUGGCACUUCCCAGAGGCCCUGAGCCCUGAGCUUCAGCUCGGAGGAGUGCACCCUGUCCAGGAACUCCAGGCUGGAGAGCAAUCCUGGCUCUGGUGAUGAUGCCGAACUGGCCCAGGCCACCGAGAGCGCCGUAGAAGAGGUCAGAGUUCUCCUCGGGCGAGCAGGUGACGACAUCUCCUCUUCCUGCAUUCCAUGUUCAUGACAAAGAUAUGAGCCACUGUAGUUGAUUAUUACUGGUCUAUUGCUAGUUAAUCAACGUGCUUGAUUUGCUUGGGGGUUUUGUGUAAGAUGAGACCUGUCACAAUCUCCAGCUGGUUGACAUUGCUGAUCUGCGGCCCAUGCCGGAACGCCUGGCCGCUGACCCCGGCAUUCGACAGCGUGCCGCCCACAGUGAGGUGGAGGUAAUCGGUCCACGACCUGGGCGCCAGCCCGUGCUUGAGCGUCUCAUGCAGCACGUUGAUCCAGAGCUCUCCUCCGGGGGCGUCCACGUAAGGUGUGGCGGCACCAUCGCCGUUGUGCACCUGCAUCCUAGCAUCACCGCUGAGGGACUCCAUCUUGACGACGAUCCCACCAGCGGU